rnacentral:rRNA from 1 species
CUGGGAAUUUUGCGCAAUGGGGGAAAUCCCUGACGCAGCAACGCCGCGUGGGUGAGGAAGGCCUUCGGGUCGUAAAGCCCUUUUAGCAGGGAAGAACAAGAUGACGGUACCUGCAGAAAAAGCACCGGCUAACUCCGUGCCAGCAGCCGCGGUAAUACGGAGGGUGCGAGCGUUAUUCGGAUUCACUGGGCGUAAAGGGCGCGUAGGCGGUUCGGUAAGUCUGAUGUGAAAUCCCUCGACCUAAUCGAGGAAGUGCAUUGGAUACUGCCAGACUAGAGUGCAGGAGAGGAAGAUGGAAUUCCCGGUGUAGAGGUGAAAUUCGUAGAUAUCGGGAGGAACAACAGUGGCGAAGGCGAUCUUCUGGACUGCAACUGACGCUGAGGCGCGAAAGCGUGGGUAGCAAACAGG